GAGUUUGAUCCUGGCUCAGGACGAACGCUGGCGGCGUGCUUAACACAUGCAAGUCACGGGGGCCCGCAAGGGCAACCGGCGAACGGGUGCGUAACACGUGAGCAAGCUUCCGAUUAGUGGGGGAUAGCCGGCCCAACGGCCGGGUAAUACCGCAUACGUUCUCUGGACGGCAUCGUCUGGAGAGGAAACCUCCGGGGCUAAUCGAGGCGCUCGCGGCCUAUCAGCUAGUUGGCGGGGUAACGGCCCACCAAGGCUAUGACGGGUAGCUGGUCUGAGAGGAUGGCCAGCCACAUUGGGACUGCGACACGGCCCAGACUCCUACGGGAGGCAGCAGUGGGGAAUAUUGCGCAAUGGACGAAAGUCUGACGCAGCGACGCCGCGUGUGGGAUGAAGCUCUUCGGGGUGUAAACCACUGUUGCCCGGGACGAAAUGCCCUUUCGAGGGAAUUGACGGUACCGGGUGAGGAAGCACCGGCUAACUCUGUGCCAGCAGCCGCGGUAAUACAGAGGGUGCGAGCGUUGUCCGGAAUCACUGGGCGUAAAGGGCGCGUAGGUGGCUUGGUAAGCGUGUGGUGAAAGUCCGGGGCUCAACCCCGGAUCUGCCGUGCGAACUGCUGAGCUCGAGCAUUGUAGAGGCAGGUGGAAUUCCGGGUGUAGCGGUGGAAUGCGUAGAGAUCCGGAAGAACACCAGUGGCGAAGGCGGCCUGCUGGGCAAUAGCUGACACUGAGGCGCGACAGCGUGGGGAGCAAACAGGAUUAGAUACCCUGGUAGUCCACGCCGUAAACGAUGGGUACUAGGUG
rnacentral:rRNA from 1 species